UUAAAGUCUGGGAUACCAUUUGGAAACAGAUGCUAAUACCGGAUAAAAAGCUACUUUCGCAUGAAAGAAGUUUAAAAAGGCGGCGUAAGCUGUCGCUAAAGGAUGGACCUGCGAUGCAUUAGCUAGUUGGUAAGGUAACGGCUUACCAAGGCGAUGAUGCAUAGCCGAGUUGAGAGACUGAUCGGCCACAUUGGGACUGAGACACGGCCCAAACUCCUACGGGAGGCAGCAGUAGGGAAUUUCCACAAUGGACGCAAGUCUGAUGGAGCAACGCCGCGUGAGUGAAGAAGGUUUUCGGAUCGUAAAGCUCUGUUGUUGGUGAAGAAGGAUAGAGGUAGUAACUGGCCUUUAUUUGACGGUAAUCAACCAGAAAGUCACGGCUAACUACGUGCCAGCAGCCGCGGUAAAU
rnacentral:rRNA from 1 species